AGAGUUUGAUCCUGGCUCAGAUUGAACGCUGGCGGCAUGCCUUACACAUGCAAGUCGAACGGGCUUUGGGGCUUGCUCCAAAGUUAGUGGCGAACGGGUGAGUAAUAUAUCGGAACGUACCCUUGAGUGGGGGAUAACAUAGCGAAAGUUAUGCUAAUACCGCAUACGAUCUAAGGAUGAAAGUGGGGGACCGCAAGGCCUCACGCUCCUGGAGCGGCCGAUAUCCGAUUAGCUAGUUGGUGAGGUAAAGGCUCACCAAGGCUUCGAUCAGUAGCUGGUCUGAGAGGACGAUCAGCCACACUGGGACUGAGACACGGCCCAGACUCCUACGGGAGGC
rnacentral:rRNA from 1 species